rnacentral:lncRNA from 1 species
CCUGUCUGUCUCAGACUCCACAGACCCAGAGGACGUGCAGAGGACAUGCUGAGGGUCUCCGAGGGGCCAAAGACGCUUCAGAAGUCUUGUUAGCAAUGCUUGAGCAUUCAAGACACCAAGUUCACAAUCUGACAUUUCUCUUCAUUACUCAUCCAAGUAGCGUGCUGUGCCAGGACAAGGUUUAAAAGUUGAAUGGAAUCAAAUCCCUCUGAAAUCCUGA